rnacentral:lncRNA from 1 species
AUUUCUUUCUCUAUAUCCCUCUAUUCUCCCCUCUUUUUAUCAUCAUUGGAGAUACUGCGAUGUGACGCUCCAGACGCCACCACCACAGUGGCAUCACUCCAAAGUAGACAUUACUACCACGGAUCUAUUCAAAAGACAGCGACAUCGGGUCUAUUAUAAGUAAUGAGGAGCGCCGUUGCUUCAUGGUGGUCGUAGAUCUAUGUGUCUGACACAAAGGGUGUGAAUCUGUGUUGGUGCGGUGGUCUGCGAUGGUGUGUGUGGUAUUGUCUGUGAUGGAUUGUAGUGAUGACGCUAGUGGUGGCGGUGGAUGUAGCGACGUGGUUUUAGGAUUUUGGGCUAUUUUCUUCUUCCGAUUUGCUUCGUUGGAGCUUUAAGGGGUGCUUAGCUGAUUUUUUUUUUUUUUGUGGUGUUUGGGUGGUGCUCAACUGGUACUUUAUUUUAGAUUGUGAGGUGGUGAUGGCGAUGGCGAUGUGGCAGUGCUGAUUUUAGUUUUUAUUUCUAUUUCUUUUGUGAGUUUUAGAUUGUAAAAUUGUAUUAAUGUUGGCGGUGUAACGAUGAGGUGGUACUUGCUCUUCGGGUUCUUUUUCUGUUUUCGUUUUGUUACCAAUGGUAAAGCGGUGUUGGUGGUGAUAUGGUAUUGAUGGUCGUAGUGGUGGUCAUGGUAGUGGUGUGCUGAUUGUGGGUCGUGGGGUUUAUGACCAUUUGGUUGGUGGUGGCAUGACUGUGGUUGUGGAUUGGUGGCGAUGGUGUUGUUGGUAGGGGUCGUAGCGAUGGUGAUUGUAGGUUUGUGGAUUUUUUGGAUGGCUGUGGUGGUGAGGUGUAGUGGAGAUGAUGGUUGCAAGUAGUAGUCACAAAUUAUUUAAUUGAUUUUGAUCAUUAAAUUGGUUAAUAUGCUGUAAUCAAUAAAUAAUAUUUGAUCAAUAAAAGGGAUAAAUUGUGACCAAGACAUAAUGUAUGACCUAAAAAAUUGUUAAUUUGUGACCAAUACUUUGACAAUUUGGGACUGUAUAAUAAGUGGUGA